UAACGGCGAGUGAAGCGGCAAAAGCUCAAAUUUGAAAUCUGGUACCUUCGGUGCCCGAGUUGUAAUUUGGAGAGGGCAACUUUGGGGCCGUUCCUUGUCUAUGUUCCUUGGAACAGGACGUCAUAGAGGGUGAGAAUCCCGUGUGGCGAGGAGUGCGGUUCUUUGUAAAGUGCCUUCGAAGAGUCGAGUUGUUUGGGAAUGCAGCUCUAAGUGGGUGGUAAAUUCCAUCUAAAGCUAAAUAUUGGCGAGAGACCGAUAGCGAACAAGUACAGUGAUGGAAAGAUGAAAAGAACUUUGAAAAGAGAGUGAAAAAGUACGUGAAAUUGUUGAAAGGGAAGGGCAUUUGAUCAGACAUGGUGUUUUGUGCCCUCUGCUCCUUGUGGGUAGGGGAAUCUCGCAUUUCACUGGGCCAGCAUCAGUUUUGGUGGCAGGAUAAAUCCAUAGGAAUGUAGCUUGCCUCGGUAAGUAUUAUAGCCUGUGGGAAUACUGCCAGCUGGGACUGAGGACUGCGACGUAAGUCAAGGAUGCUGGCAUAAUGGUUAUAUGCCGCCCGUCUUGAC
rnacentral:rRNA from 1 species